UGAUGGGUGGGCUCGCACGACUCUUCAUAAUCGAUCGGUCUAUUGGUGCAUCCCAUCACGUGUGACAUCACGCCUUUUUGUAUAGAAUAUAGAGUAAAGUUUAUGUUUGCAAAGGCCUCCUGUGUCUGCUGAAUUACACCACGUAGGCCUAUGAACAAACUGUUCGAGGAAAUCAAUUGAUUGGAAGAAAACACCACCGUACCUUGGCAGAAACACCGACUGGGACUCCGGGAAGCGGCUCCCCGAUGGCGCAAAAAGGACGUGGCUCCCAAAGUUGGGGUAGUCGUUGUAGGGAUAGUGCGGACACUCUCCGUUGUAUUCUCCGUGGCUGUAGUUGACCGGGGACUUGGUGUUCAUGGCCCAAAAGAGCCCCAGGAUGAGCAUGACGGCCCCUAGCACCACGCAGCAGAGGGAGAAGGCCUGCAGACGGCUCUGGGACGAGGUGAGGAAGGCGGUGGAGCCCCCGGUCACUAUGAGGAAGACCCCCACGAAGAUGGCCCCAUGAUACAGAGACGGCAUGGUGCUUGAAGACAGCGAGUGUUGGCAGGGAGGUUGUUAGUGCUGCAGAAAGCCUUUGAAAGGUUGCCGGUGGGGUCCGUUAUGCGCGCACCAAACAUAUGGAGUCCAUACGUGAGGGUGCGCUCCUCUUGCGUGCAGACCAUUCAUUAAAGAUGCGUCGCGUUGUAAAAACAAAGACAAAGCCUUAAACUAAGAUUCAAAGUUAUAAUAGUGAUUGACUAAUGCUUAAUCAAAUGAAAUAAAGAAUAAAUCGCGCACAAGUUAAACAAACCAAAGAUCAUAAAGAAAAGCAAUGCAAUUGCAUAUAGACUACCUUUCCAUGGCUUCCCGGUCUCAGGAGGAUGCAGAUUCUAACCCUUACGUCCACAUAUUAGCCUGUACUGUACAGAUAUCCGCGCUAUCCUUCGGAAGGAAAAGACCAUUGACUGGAAGUUGUAUUAAAAGCUCUGCAGUCCGGGUGGUUGAUGAUCAUCCCUGCAGAUGGAUGAGGGAGCGACAGACCCCACUUAGGAACAUUUACUGGCGCCCCACCCUCUCAAAGUGGACCACUUUAUCCGCGUGUGCGUGAGUCGAGCAGGAGGAGAGAGACGUGAGGUGAUGGAGAGAAUGACAGAUAUAGGCUACUUUUUUUUUUUUUGCAGUUUGGCCUAUACAAGUCCAAUCAUGUGGGAAAUUACCAAUACUCCAUUUUACUCCUUCUACGUGUUGUGUUCACAGCAGUUUGCUGUGUUUUUUCCACCUCCUGGGUCUGCCACUCCUCCUGUCUGUCUCACUUCACACCUGGACCUAUUCUGCAAUCAUGCUCACCUGGUCUUCAUCUCCAAUCAACUCCCCUUCAUAAACCCUUGGAUUCCCUGCUGUCGGUGCCAGAUCGUACUACGCACUACUGUGUUAUCCGGAUCCCUCACUCCAGUUCGCCUGCUUCGCUCCUUCCCCGGCAACCUCAUCCAAUACCCGCCUCCUCGCCUCGUUCAAUAAACCCUUUUUCCUUCAACUCAACUUCGUCUCCGUCUGCUCUUGGGUUCAGCAUCGUUUAACCAUAACACUACGUUUACAUUUUUUACUUUUUUUGUAUGUUUCAAGUGUAGGCCUAUAUGUUUGACAACAAACCUUCUCCAAUAUUUCCCUCAAGAAUACAAACUCUUUCGUUCAAUGUUGUGGGAAAUUUGAAACGUGGAGAAAAAUAAUCUGCCAACUAGGCCGACUUGAAAACUUUAAAAUGUUUGAAACUUUUUCACAACAGCCCUACCACGAACACACAAAUUGGCCUAAUAUUUAUGUUGUUCAUUGUGUGUAUAGGACAUUAUGUUCAACUUUGAUUCUACCCCUGUAUAGCAA
ensembl:lncRNA